UACGUAGGGGGCGAGCGUUGUCCGGAUUUAUUGGGCGUAAAGAGCGCGUAGGCGGCUAGGUAGGUCUGCUGUGAAAACUCGAGGCUCAACCUCGAGACGUCGGCGGAAACCAUCUGGCUAGAGUCCGGAAGAGGAGAGCGGAAUUCCUGGUGUAGCGGUGAAAUGCGCAGAUAUCAGGAGGAACACCGGUGGCGAAGGCGGUGGUCUGGGCCGGCACUGACGCUGAGGAGCGAAAGCGUGGGGAGCGAACAGG
rnacentral:rRNA from 1 species